rnacentral:tRNA from 1 species
GGGGGUAUAGCUCAGAUGGUAGAGCAGCUGACUCUUAAUCAGUAGGUCCAAGGUUCGAGUCCUUGUGCCCCUACCA